GACGAACGCUGGCGGCGUGCUUAACACAUGCAAGUCGAACGGAAAGGCCUCUUUCGGGGGGUACUCGAGUGGCGAACGGGUGAGUAACACGUGAGUAACCUGCCCUUGACUUUGGGAUAACUUCAGGAAACUGGGGCCAAUACCGGAUAGGAGCUCCUGCUGCAUGGUGGGGGUUGGAAAGUUUCGGCGGUUGGGGAUGGACUCGCGGCUUAUCAGCUUGUUGGUGGGGUAGUGGCUUACCAAGGCUUUGACGGGUAGCCGGCCUGAGAGGGUGACCGGCCACAUUGGGACUGAGAUACGGCCCAGACUCCUACGGGAGGCAGCAGUGGGGAAUAUUGCACAAU
rnacentral:rRNA from 1 species